AAAAUAAAAAUUUUCAAAUAAAAUAUCUGAUUGAUACAAAGAAGAUUAGGAUGGCUGCUGCGCAAGGAUGACACACGCAUAUUGACAAAUGGGGUGGGUUUGAAAAUUUU
rnacentral:snRNA from 1 species